GGCGACUUUAUCUUAAAACUCUAUGGGAGAGAAAAGGAAGGAGGGACUACGUGGAUGGAAAAGAAACGAAAGAAAAUAGGAAUCGCAGGGAUGCGACGAAGAAAGGAAGAAACAUCAGGACCGAUAAAAUAAAAUGGAUGAAGCAAGGAAACAGAGAAAAAAAAUAAAGAAAGAAUAAGAAGAGAAAAGGGAAGAAGACGGGUCGCGCGUUAGUUCGCUUUGGAUAUAUCGUGCACGUUCGCGGGCACGGUCAGAGAGAAAGAGAGAGAGGGUGCGCGCUGGGUGGGGUGCGGCGUCGAGUUUGCGAGACGAGAAAGGGGAUGCACGAUCGCGGAGAGAAGGUCCCGAGGCAAGUAGAGUGCCUGCCUGCCUGCCUGCCUGCCUGCCGGAGAGGGUCGAAGAGAAACGAGCGAACGUGUUUCGAUGUAGGAACGGAGAAAGAGAAGCUGCUGGUAGUGGGGGUGGCAACGGUAGAGGCGGAGAGGGUGAGAGAACGCGCAGCUGGUGGAUCAAUACGCCCCUCCGUUCUUUCCCUCUCCAGUCGGUUCUUCCGGGGGUUGUCGCGUUCCGCACCGCGCCGCGCCGCACCGCGUGCGUCCUGAUCCACCCCUGCGAAAAUUCUUUCUUCCUUCCUUUUCUCCUCGUAUCUUCCAUUCUUUCUCUUUCUCUUUCUCUUUCUCUUCGUUGUUACAUCUUCUUGCCAUAUAUCCCUCUCCUCGAAUCUCUUUCUCUAGCCGAGAAUUCCCUAGACCGUCUUUCCCGAGCUCGCGGAAGGAAUCGAUCGCGAUGGGGAUCUCUCUCUCUCUCUCUCUCUCUCUCUCUCUCUCUCUCUCUCUCUUCCCCUCCCUCUCUUUCUCGUGAAAUUCUUAGCUCCAUCGCACACAUCGGAGCAAGGCAAAUUUUCGCACGACGAAUGUCGUAGGAUAAAGAGGAGAGGACACGGCUUGUCUCAUCCUUCUACUUUCUUCGUUCCCUCGGCAGCAGUCCCCGCCUUUCGAUCGAGCUCCUCAAACCGAGCUCGUACCCUACUGCCGCGUUACUCGACCGACGCAGGGACAGGAAGAAAGAAAAAGGAACAAAAAAGGAAAGAAAAAGACGGACGACUGGCUUUGGAGUUAGUCGCGGUAUCAACGACCUCGUAGAAUCCAUCGGCGAAUUCGAAAUCGAUCGGGACGACAUCGAGAGAGCUUCGUCAAACUUGCGAUCGACUACGACGCUCUUUCUAGCCAUGACCCCGUUCGCUUGGCUCGCCAUAGCCAAGCCUGGAAAAGAAAUAUGAAAAAUAGAGAGAAGAGGAAAAACGUGACGUCGAGUGCGAAGAGAAUCGCACGGUGGCUCGAGAGAGCAAAGAUACUCGCAAGGAAAUCGCACGGAGAUAGAAGCGAAAGCAAAAGCGGAGAAGGACGCGAUGGUAGAGAGUAUAAAUCGAAGUAUUUUCAGUGUAUCGAGGAAUACUCCAAUGGCCGGUAAACAGCAGUGGCCCCACGGCAACAUCGAGUAACUCGUCUACCCUCCUUUCUCUCUUGUGGGGGUGCGCGCGCGCACUUGACAAAGCGCAAGCGCGAGCUACGUACGUAGAGACGCGCGUAGCUUCACCGAGAGAGAGAGAGGAGUCUCUCUCUGGCUGUGGUGCGUCGGUACUUUCGAGGGUGAGUCCUGCUCUGGUGGGGCUCCGAGGUGGCCGAUCGUCUCUCUCCCGCUUUGGGUGGGGGAGGGACAGGGUGCGGAGGCGGCACCGCCAUCGAGAGACGCAGUGCCGUCGGGACGCUCGACCGAGCGAUACGCGCACUAAACGCGGAAGAAACAUUCUUUCUUCGAGGACGAGAGCAAAGUUUCCCGAUCGGUGGAACGCGAACGAGAAGAAAAACUUUGCCGUCGUCGCCGUUGUCGUCGCCGCCGCCGCCGUCGUCGUCGUCGUCGGCCUCGCAUUGACAAAGCUUCGUAUUUUUAUCCAACGAGCUAACUCGAGGACAAACACGCAACCUAGACGAGUUGGCGCGUCGCGUUCGAGUAAUCGAUCCGGCCAAAAUGUAACAGAAUGUAGGAAAAAAAGUCUUUGGAUUUUCUUUAAAGGGACUCCCGUGUAUUGUCAACGUAUCGGGACUGUUCAGUGCCACGAUCAUCGGAUGAGAGGGAGAUCACGCAUGUGUACCAGUGCCGGGGAUAUUGUCCUGUCACAGCAGUACGCCUUCAAAGAGUUACUGGUGUGAUGGGACAUUGUCCUCGUCUCGUGGUCCAUUCGACGCCGAUAUUCUACCCUACUCUACUUUCAACGGCGAGGAUUCUUUUCAGGAAGAACACGUUCGUCGCUACGAUGGCUGACCUCUCUAUCCCCUAUACCUCCUACAAUCUGAAGAAAGAUGGCCACGAGGUGAACCUUUCCACGGAGAUGUCUCUCGUAUUAUCGCCAACGUGGAUACCACGAGCGAUGUGGUGUUUCCGGUCGAUAAGGUAGCUUUUGGAAGGCGCGGCUGAUUCCUCGUUCUCUUGCUCGACGUAGUCGUCGCGAUGACGUUCGAUCGAAAACUCUCAGUGAUUGGAACGAGAUAUAUUUUGAACGAGAAAGACCCACGGAUUUCGUUUUCGCAGCAUGUUCUCUCUGCUUGGCAUACCCAAGAUGGCCGGUAUUGAACGCCGAACACGAUAUAAGAAUUUUUCACCAAAUUCUAUUUUUUUCUUUUAUCACUGAAUUUGCAAGAAAAAAAAAAAAAGAUCGCGUAACGUACGAUGAUUCGACGUUUUUCCGAGAAUGGAAAAAAAAGGAGGAGUUUAAAGUAUCCUCUAAAAUAAUUAUGGACAAUUCAAACACGAUAAUUGGCAGUUUCGAGUCUCCUCCUGCAAAUGUUUCUCGACUCGACGUGCAACUUGACUCUCCGUCAUUUUGUUGGAAAGAAAUAAUUUGAUGUCUCUUUUAAAGCAGCUUCUAUCGAGCAACGAAUCGAUUUUGUAUCCAAGCCCAGUUUGAUAUACCAAAUUAAAGCGACUCCAUAAAAAGAGGGGUGGUGGUAGUCUCGAACGGGAUCGAUGCAAACCUUAACAUCGAGGUCGCUCGUAGUUUUCGUCUUUUUUUUCUCCCCUUUCUCAAAGAGCAUUUGACGGAAACUCGACGACGAAUUGAUAUUCGAGAAAGGACAGAUAUAGAGUGGAGAUGGAGAGGUCAUUCUUCGUUCGUGACGAUCGUGAGACGAGUACGUCGAUGACCGUUUGCGUGGAAGUGCCGAUGAUAACUGUGUUGGUGACGUCGGUGACAAGUUGUUAACCGUGAUGACUGUGAUAGUGGUGCUUUUCUGUGGUGCUUCGAACGAUACGGGGUGGAGCAGAGAAGUUGCGAUUGGGGUGGAUGGGAACGCGUUGUCGGCUCGCCCUCUCUCUGUACUUUGCUUCAGGGCAUGGACGCUAGGUGGCGAAUCUUUCAUCGAUAAGAACAGAGAGAGAAAGGGAGAGAGAGGACACCAGCAUGCUAGGAGGAACGAGUGGAAAGCUAGCUACCUUCUAUUUAUCUCGAGGAAUAUCAAAAGCAGAGAAGACGAAAAGGAACGACCCAACGAACGCGGAAACGAAUCAACGAGAGAGAAAAAGGAAGAACGUGGAAGAGAAUGCCGAUCGAGCUCGUUGUGAAAAAUAUAUAUAUAUAAAAAAAAAGAGAAAAAGGUCCGCCAUAUUUAUUCGCGUGAGAGACCUUAGACAGAGAACCCCAUAGAUGUUGUAGAUCGUAGAGUACAUGCUGCCACAUGCAGAUGUCGUUGUUGUGUAGGCAUUACUAUAGAUUUUAGAUAAUACUUUUGGAAAUUUUCUAAUAUUAGCACUUUUGUCCGAGUAUCAGCGCCGAUUCCCUCAUUUCUCUUUUACCUUUUUUUUUUUACUUUCUUCUUCCAAUUACGCGAAUCGUCGUAGAAACCGAUUUUCCCGAAAAAAAGUUUCUUCUCGAUCGCAGAGAAAAAGAAAAAGAAACGAGAGAAUUCAUAGCAUCGCGAUAUAAAACGCUACACGUAAAGUUGACGGCGUUUUCCGGCGGGCUGAGAAGCCGCGAUCGAUAUAAUAUAUGUAUUUGCGGCAAAGCAGGUUGCAUGCGUUGCACGUCGCAGUGGCAGCUGUAAUCAAGCUAUGUUCACACGUACACGUUAACCGUAUAAACGUUUAUAUAAGCACCAUUACCUUAUGUGUACCUAUUUAGAUAUGCACACGUAGAAUUUAGAUAUGUAUAUAUUUCCGAGUUGAGCCGAAUCCGAGAUUCAAAGAGUACUCGCGUAUUAGAUAUCUAUAUGGUGUAUGUAUUAUUAAAGGUUGCUCGUGUAAACUUUCGUCGAGUCGUUGCGUGUAGGAAGAAUUCGAUCGAUGAAAAAGAACGAAACUCGAUAGAACUUUGAAAUCCAAUAGAAACUGUAUGAAUUAUAACGAUCACGUUGUGCGCCGAAGAAAAAUGGAAAGUCAAUGAAUAAUAAAUCAAAUUUCAAGGAAAUAAAACCAACAGAAAACUCAGUUACAUGCUUCAUUUCCGAA